CGGACGGGUGAGUAACACGUGAGUAACCUGCCUUAGACAUUGGGAUAGCCUCGGGAAACCGGGAUUAAUACCAAAUAAAAUCAUAAUGACACAUGUCAUAACGAUCAAAACUCCGGUGGUCUAAGAUGGACUCGCGUCCCAUUAGCUAGUUGGUAGAGUAAAAGCCUACCAAGGCGACGAUGGGUAGCCGGCCUGAGAGGGUGAACGGCCACAUUGGAACUGAGAAACGGUCCAA
rnacentral:rRNA from 1 species